AGUGAACGCUGGCGGUAGGCCUAACACAUGCAAGUCGAACGGCAGCACAGUAAGAGCUUGCUCUUAUGGGUGGCGAGUGGCGGACGGGUGAGGAAUACAUCGGAAUCUACAUUUUCGUGGGGGAUAACGCAGGGAAACUUACGCUAAUACCGCAUACGACCUACGGGUGAAAGCAGGGGAUCUUCGGACCUUGCGCGAUUGAAUGAGCCGAUGUCGGAUUAGCCAGUUGGCGGGGUAAAGGCCCACCAAGGCGACGAUCCGUAGCUGGUCUGAGAGGAUGAACAGGCACACUGUAACUGAGACACGGUCCAGACUCUGACAGGGGGCAGCGGUGGAGAAUAUUGGACGAUGGGCGCAAGCCUGAUCCAGCCAUACCGCGUGAAUGAAGAAGGCCUUCGGGUUGUAGAGCCCUUUUGUUGUGAAAGAAGAGCAGCAGGUUAGACCCCCGCUGUUCUGACGGUACCCGAAGAAUAAGCACCGGCUAACUUCGUG
rnacentral:rRNA from 1 species